CACGUAGGGGGCAAGCGUUGUCCGGAUUUAUUGGGCGUAAAGAGCUCGUAGGCGGUUCGAUAAGUCGGGUGUGAAACCUCCAGGCUCAACCUGGAGACGCCACCCGAUACUGUCGUGACUAGAGUCCAGUAGGGGAGCGUGGAAUUCCUGGUGUAGCGGUGAAAUGCGCAGAUAUCAGGAGGAACACCAGCGGCGAAGGCGGCGCUCUGGGCUGGCACUGACGCUGAGGAGCGAAAGCGUGGGGAGCAAACAGG
rnacentral:rRNA from 1 species